rnacentral:rRNA from 1 species
GGGGAAUAUUGGACAAUGGGGGCAACCCUGAUCCAGCGACGCCGCGUGGGUGAAGAAGGCCUGCGGGUUGUAAAGCCCUUUCGGUUGGGAAGAAAAGUUGCGACCUAACACGUUGCGACCUUGACGUAACCAACUAAAGAAGCACCGGCUAACUCUGUGCCAGCAGCCGCGGUAAUACAGAGGGUGCGAGCGUUAAUCGGAAUUACUGGGCGUAAAGCGCGCGUAGGCGGCUUUUCAAGUCGAUUGUGAAAUCCCCGGGCUUAACCUGGGAACUGCAGUCGAGACUGUCUAGCUAGAGUAUGGGAGAGGGAAGUGGAAUUUCAGGUGUAGCGGUGAAAUGCGUAGAUAUCUGAAGGAACAUCAGUGGCGAAAGCGACUUCCUGGACCAAUACUGACGCUCAUGUGCGAAAGCGUGGGGAGCAAAC